AGCUGACCGGCACGUGCAGGGCUUGCGUGACAGCCUCAAGUCGUAUCACAAAGCUAUCCAGACCUUUGGGAAGGAGAGCUGGAUGAAGCGCUACUGCAUGCUAAUGAUCGACCAGAUCGACGAGAAGUCGCUCAGCAGCAUUGAACACGAUGUG
rnacentral:SRP_RNA from 1 species